GGUUACUGCUAUCGGUGUUCGACUAAGCCAUGCGAGUCAAAUGUUCUUCGUGAACAUGGCGGACUGCUCAGUAACACGUGGAUACCCUGCCCUUAGGUUCGGCAUAACUCCGGGAAACUGGAGAUAAUUCCGAAUAGGUCAAAUAUGCUGGAAUGCUUUUUGGCCAAAAGACCUCGGUUGCCUAAGGAUGGAUCUGCGGUCUAUCAGGUUGUAGUGGGUGUAACGUACCUACUAGCCUACGACGGAUAUGGGUUGUGAGAGCAAGAGCCCAGAGAUGGAUUCUGAGACAUGAAUCCAGGCCCUACGGGGCGCAGCAGGCGCGAAAACUUUACAAUGCGGGAAACCGCGAUAAGGGGACACCGAGUGCCAGCAUUUAUGUUGGCUGUCCACAUGUGUAAACGGCAUGUGUUAGCAAGGGCCGGGCAAGACCGGUGCCAGCCGCCGCGGUAACACCGGCGGCCCGAGUGGUAAUCACUUUUAUUGGGUCUAAAGGGUCCGUAGCCGGUUUGAUCAGUUCUUCGGGAAAUCUGACAGCUCAACUGUUAGGCUUCCGGGGAAUACUGUCAGACUUGGGACCGGGAGAGGUAAGAGGUACUACAGGGGUAGGAGUGAAAUCUUGUAAUCCCUGUGGGACCACCAGUGGCGAAGGCGUCUUACCAGAACGGGUCCGACGGUGAGGGACGAAAGCUGGGGGCACGAACCGGAUUAGAUACCCGGGUAGUCCCAGCCGUAAACGAUGUUCGCUAGGUGUCAGGGGCGGUGCGACCGCUUCUGGUGCCGUAGGGAAGCCGUGAAGCGAACCACCUGGGAAGUACGGCCGCAAGGCUGAAACUUA
rnacentral:rRNA from 1 species